rnacentral:rRNA from 1 species
AGCAGCCGCGGUAAUUCCAGCUCCAAUAGCGUAUAUUAAAGUUGUUGCAGUUAAAAAGCUCGUAGUUGAAUUUCGGGGUUAGUAGGUUGGUCAUGCCUCUGGUAUGUACUGGUCUCACUGAUUCCUCCUUCCUGAUGAACCUUAAUGCCAUUUAUUUGGUGUUUUGGGGAAUUUGGACUGUUACUUUGAAAAAAUUAGAGUGUUUAAAGCAAGCUAACGCUUGAAUACAUUAGCAUGGAAUAAUGAAAUAGGACGUUCGAUCCUAUUUUGUUGGUUUCUAGGAUUGACGUAAUGAUUAAUAGGGAUAGUUGGGGGCAUUAGUAUUCAAUUGUCAGAGGUGAAAUUCUUGGAUUUAUUGAAGACUAACUACUGCGAAAGCAUUUGCCAAGGAUGUUUUCAUUAAUCAAGAACGAAAGUUAAGGGGAUCGAAGACGAUCAGAUACCGUCGUAGUCUUAACCAUAAACCAUGCCGACUAGGGAUCGGAUGAUGUUAAUUUUUAAUGUACUCAUUCGGCGCCUU